rnacentral:misc_RNA from 1 species
GCGAGCGUUACAGACGAGAAAAAGGGUGCGAUUUUCAUUUCAUCGUUCGGGUGUUGUUGCCAAGAUUCGUCAUGGAUUCCAAGUUGGAAAUUUUUCUCCUUAUCCUCAAUAUUCAUCACGUUUUACUCCUUCCAGAUGUUAUCAGAAUAGGUGGCCUUUUUCAUCCGGCUGAUGAUAAACAAGAGCUGGCUUUCAAAUACGCAGUGGAUAAGAUCAACAACGACAGGACCAUUCUGCCACGAUCGAAACUAAGCGCUCAAAUCGAGCGCAUGUCGCCUCAAGACAGUUUCCAUGCUUCUAAGAAAGUUUGCCAUCUCCUUCGAAGUGGUGUCGCCGCUAUUUUUGGUCCACAGUCUCCCCAAACGGCAAGCCACGUCCAAUCGAUCUGUGACACCAUGGAAAUCCCCCAUUUGGAAACGCGGUGGGACUACAGACUGCGGAGGGAAAGCUGCCUGGUAAAUCUUUACCCGCACCCUACGAUGCUUUCAAAGGCCUACGUUGAUUUGGUGAAAGCGUGGGGUUGGAAGUCUUUCACAAUUAUUUACGAAAACAAUGAGGGAUUAGUGCGACUGCAGGAAUUACUGAAAGCUCAUGGUCCUUACGAGUUUCCCAUAACGGUACGACAGUUAGGGGAAGGCCCGGAUUACAGACCUCUGUUGAAGCAAAUCAAAAAUACUGCGGAAUCCCACAUUGUAUUGGAUUGCACCACUGAGAAGAUCUAUGACGUAUUGAAGCAGGCUCAGCAGAUUGGAAUGAUGAGUGACUAUCACAGCUAUCUGAUUACCUCAUUGGAUAUUCACGGAGUAGAUUUGGAAGAAUUUAAAUAUGGCGGUACAAACAUAACAGCCUUCCGAUUGGUGGAUCCUGAUGGUCCGGAAGUGAGGAAGAUAUUAAAAGUGUGGCAAGCUAUGGCUGUUAAUGAUAAUAACCGGAACCGGAAGCCAGAGUCGAACCAAUUCGUGGACAACAGAACUUUUGUGAAGGCUGAAACGGCCCUCAUGUAUGACGCCGUGCACCUGUUCGCCAAGGCGCUUCACGACCUGGACACCAGCCAACAGAUAGACAUUAAGCCACUCAGCUGUGAUGCCGUAGACACCUGGCCACACGGCUACAGCCUCAUUAACUACAUGAAGAUAGUUGAGAUGCGAGGCCUCACUGGUAUAAUCAGAUUCGAUCACCAGGGUUUCCGGAGCGACUUCGUGCUAGAUAUCGUCGAAUUAGGGAGGGAAGGGUUGAAGAAAAUUGGCAGUUGGAACGCUUCUAGGGGAGUUAAUUUCACCAGGACAUACGGAGAGGCCUACACUCAAAUCGUCGAAAUUCUACAGAACAAGACCUUCGUCGUCACGACGAUUUUGAGUUCACCGUAUAUAAUGCGCAAAGAUUCUACCGAAAAGUUGACGGGAAAUUCGCAAUUUGAGGGAUACGCUGUGGACCUGAUUCACGAAAUUUCCCGUAUUCUCGGCUUCAACUACACGAUCCGCUUGGCACCGGAUGGACGUUACGGGUCGUACAACAAGAAAACAAAAGAAUGGGACGGAAUGAUAAAAGAGCUACUAGAUCAAAAGGCUGAUUUGGCCAUAGCCGAUCUCACAAUAACAUACGAUCGCGAACAAGCAGUAGAUUUCACAAUGCCCUUCAUGAACCUAGGCAUUAGCAUUUUAUACAGGAAGCCCAUUAAACAACCGCCCAACCUUUUUUCCUUUCUUUCACCGUUAUCGCUAGACGUCUGGAUCUACAUGGCGACGGCAUAUCUGGGAGUUUCGGUACUACUAUUUAUACUAGCAAGAUUUACCCCUUACGAAUGGCAAAAUCCCCACCCUUGCAACCCCAAUCCAGAUCAUUUGGAAAAUGAGUUUACGUUGUUAAACUGCAUGUGGUUUGCUAUUGGUUCGUUGAUGCAACAGGGUUGCGAUUUUUUACCCAAGGCUGUGUCGACUAGAAUGGUGGCGGGAAUGUGGUGGUUUUUUACCCUGAUAAUGAUAUCAUCCUAUACAGCCAAUUUAGCAGCAUUCCUCACAGUUGAACGGAUGGAUUCGCCCAUCGAGAGUGCAGAGGAUCUCGCAAAACAGACGAAAAUCAAAUACGGGGCCCUAAGAGGAGGAUCGACAGCGGCGUUUUUCAGGGACUCGAACUUCACCACGUAUCAGAGAAUGUGGUCGUUUAUGGAGUCCGCCAGGCCAUCUGUGUUCACCAUGAGUAAUACUGAAGGGGUUGAAAGGGUCGUUAAGGGCAAAGGCAGUUACGCCUUCUUGAUGGAGUCGACGACAAUCGAGUAUGUUAUCGAGAGAAACUGCGAACUGACACAAAUCGGAGGACUACUCGACUCGAAAGGGUACGGGAUCGCAAUGCCUCCAAAUUCACCGUUUCGAACUGCAAUAAGUGGAGCCAUCCUCAAGCUCCAAGAAGAAGGAAAAUUGCACGUACUGAAGACGAGAUGGUGGAAGGAGAAACGGGGUGGAGGUGCUUGCAAUGAUGAAACUACGAAAACUAGCAGUACAGCGAACGCUUUGGGUCUUGCAAAUAUCGGUGGGGUGUUUGUUGUCCUUAUGGGCGGCAUGGGGGUAGCUUGCGUCAUUGCAGUGUGCGAAUUCGUCUGGAAAUCACGGAAAGUCGCCAUCGAAGAAAGGAAACAAAAAAGUAAAAAAUCAUACGACAAAGUAAUUAUUGAGGAAAACUGUAUUCCGAAAAUAGUAAACUAACUAUUUAAGAAAUGUAAUUUCUUAUGCUGCAUUAAAUUGGAAAUAUAGGAGUGCAGUGAAUCAUCGAAACCGGUGCAUCCCUUAAAGACUUCCGAUGCCACGACGAUGGUGGAUGGCAACUUUCCAC